rnacentral:tRNA from 1 species
AGCUUUUUAGUUUUGUAGAAUGUUUAGUUGUGGUCUAAGAGGUUUUUGAGCUA